UGGCUGAGUGGUAAAGCACUUGGCUUCCGAACCUGGAGUCUCAGGUUUGAAUCCUGG
rnacentral:tRNA from 1 species